rnacentral:rRNA from 1 species
GAUGAACGCUGACAGAAUGCUUAACACAGAAUAACUGAUUGGGUGGCGGACGGGUGAGUAACGCGUAGAGAACUUGCCUCACAGGUAGGGACAACAUUUGGAAACGAAUGUUAAUACCUAAUCCUGUGAGAGAGCUUUGCGUCCCUUUAGCUAGUUGGAGAGGUAACGGGUCACCAAGGCGAUGAUGGGUAGCCGGCCUGAGAGGGUGAUCGGCCACAAUGGGACUGGGACGCAGCCCUUACGCAUACGGGGAGCAGCAGUGGGGAAUAAUGAACAAUGGACCAAAGCCUGAUCCAGCAAUGCGGUGUGCACGAUGAAGGUUUCGGAAUGUAAAGUGCUUUCAGUUGAGAAGCGGUACCAACAGAAGAAGUGACGGCUAAAUACGUGCCAGCCGCCGCGGUAAUAC